UCAGGACGAACGCUGGCGGCGUGCCUAACACAUGCAAGUCGAGCGGGGACAUUGCGACGGACAUGAAGAUUUCGGUUGGAUUGAAAGAUGUAAUGUUCUAGCGGCGGACGGGUGAGUAACGCGUGAGCAACCUGUCCCUUACAGGGGGAUAACACAGCGAAAGUUGUACUAAUACCGCAUAAGACCACAGAGCGACAUCGCUUAGGGGUCAAAGGAGUAAUCCGGUAAGGGGUGGGCUCGCGUCCGAUUAGAUAGUUGGUGAGGUAACGGCCCACCAAGUCGACGAUCGGUAGCCGACCUGAGAGGGUGAUCGGCCACAUUGGGACUGAGACACGGCCCAAACUCCUACGGGAGGCAGCAGUGGGGAAUAUUGGGCAAUGGGGGAAACCCUGACCCAGCAACGCCGCGUGAGGGAAGAAGGUUUUCGGAUCGUAAACCUCUGUCCUUGGUGAAGAGAAAGAGACGGUAGCCAAGGAGGAAGCCCCGGCUAACUACGUGCCAGCAGCCGCGGUAAUACGUAGGGGGCGAGCGUUGUCCGGAAUGAUUGGGCGUAAAGGGCGCGUAGGCGGCCCGGUAAGUCUGGAGUGAAAGUCCUGCUUUUAAGGUGGGAAUUGCUUUGGAUACUGUCGGGCUUGAGUGCAGGAGAGGUAAGUGGAAUUCCCAGUGUAGCGGUGAAAUGCGUAGAGAUUGGGAGGAACACCAGUGGCGAAGGCGACUUACUGGACUGUAAC
rnacentral:rRNA from 1 species